GACUCUGUUCAACGGCCGCGGUAUCCUAACCGUGCGAAGGUAGCGUAAUCACUUGUUCUUUAAAUGUGGACUAGUAUGAAUGGCAUCACGAAGGUUAUACUGUCUCCUUUUUCUAAUCAGUGAAACUAAUCUCCCCGUGAAGAAGCGAGGAUAAAACUAUAAGACGAGAAGACCCUAUGGAGCUUUAAACAUUUAUAACACUUGCUAAAUAAAAUACAAAUUUCAGAAUUAYUUAAUCUUUAAGCAACUUGUCUAUAAGUUUUUGGUUGGGGUGACCGCGGAGCAUAAUACAACCUCCAUGUUGAAAGAUCUAUUUCUAAGCUAAGAGCUACACCUCUAAGCAUCAACAUAUUGACAUCCAUUGACCCAAUAUAUUUGAACAACGAACCAAGUUACCCUAGGGAUAACAGCGCAAUCCACUUCAAGAGCUCCUAUCGACAAGUGGGUUUACGACCUCGAUGUUGGAUCAGGGUUUCCCAGUGGUGCAGCCGCUACUAAAGGUUCGUUUGUUCAACGAUUAAACCCUACGUG
rnacentral:rRNA from 1 species